GCUCCAGACCUGGACGCAGUAUUCCAGAUGGGGCCUCACAAGAGCAGAGUAAUCCUCAAUUUGUUUAAUGCCUAAGUAAGCUGCAUGUGUUAAAUUAUGUGGUAAAUACUGCAAAAGAUUCAAGCAAUGCUGUUUCUCUCAAAUAAGAGAACUGUUGUUUUUUUUUUUCCUGAAAUGUUAAAACAUUUUUUAUUUCCCCCCACAUUUCUGAAUAUAAAAUUCAAUCUCACUAUAUGAGCCCAGAGUAUUUUGGUUUUAGAUCACGAGCUUUCCGAUGUUCUCAAACACAAAUGGAUUUAAGACCAUGUAUGGCAGCCUACCUUUGUCUUCCCUGCAACUCUCAUAGGUAUUCAGGUGAGAUAAAAAUGAACAAAGACUCUGAGAAGAGAUGCUGUAAAUCAGAUAGGGCUCUAUUUGUUUUCCAACGAAUGCUUUUCUUAUGAAAAAGAAAACUCUUGUCAUCUAUGACAGUAGAGAAGAGCCUUUGUGCAGCUAUUUUGACUAUCCACACAGUGAAAAGGGACAAGACCAAUGAAAACAAUUACACUAUUGGAUGACGAGAAUUAAGUUAUGGAAGCAGCCAGCCCUCAAUGUGCCUUGACCUCAGUGCUUUUCAGCACUAUCCUGCGUGAUGAGUUCACCCUGUCGUGGGCCCAGCAGCUGCUUUUCCUUAGAUUUCCUCUAACUAAAG
rnacentral:lncRNA from 1 species